rnacentral:ncRNA from 1 species
GGCGCUUCCGCGGCGGCGGCGCCUCGUCGCCGCUGUCCGCUCGGUUUGCCCGACUGGAAGCACGCGGGACUGGUGCGCGCGGUAACGCCUCCGAACUCGGCGAGCAGCCGUCGGCAGUUCCGGAAAGAGUUUUCUUUUCUUCAUAAGGCACGCAGUCGCUGGAACCGGGUUGUCCGGAGAUAGCGACGAUGUCGCCGCAAAACGCCGCGUCUCCCGUGGCGUUCGGAACGCUCUCGACGGUCCGUGAAAAGCCGAGCUACGCCGUAUAAAUUCGUGCUCGCUCGUACCCAUAUCCGCAGCAGGUCUCCAAGGUGAACAGCCUCUGGCCAAUUGAACAAUGCAGAUAAGGGAAGUCGGCAAAACGGAUCCGUACCUUCGGAACAAGGAUUGGCUCUAAGGGCUGAACCGGUCGGGCUGAUGCUUCGAAGCGUGUUUGGUGCGGUCGCUGACUGCCGGUCCGAGGAGCUGCGCUUGCCCGGCGU